AACGCGAAGAACCUUACCCAGACUUGACAUGCACGAGACAGUUCCAGAAAUGGAAUCUUCCUUCGGGACUCGUGCACAGGUGCUGCAUGGCUGUCGUCAGCUCGUGCCGUGAGGUGUUGGGUUAAGUCCCGCAACGAGCGCAACCCUUAUCAUUAGUUGCCAACAUUUAAGGUGGGAACUCUAAUGAGACUGCCUGGGUUAACCAGGAGGAAGGUGAGGAUGACGUCAAGUCCGCAUGGCCCUUAUGUCUGGGGCUACACACGUGCUACAAUGGGCGAUACAGAAGGCAGCAAAGCCGCGAGGUGGAGCAAAUCCAAAAAGUCGUCCCCAGUUCAGAUUGUAGUCUGCAACUCGACUACAUGAAGACGGAAUUGCUAGUAAUGGCAGGUCAGCAACACUGCCGUGAAUACGUUCCCGGGCCUUGUACACACCGAGACGAC
rnacentral:rRNA from 1 species